UUCUUUGCUGGCGACCGGCGCACGGGUGAGUAACACGUAUCAACCUGCCCUUUACUCGGGAUAGCCUUUCGAAAGAAGGAUUAAUACCCGAUAGUAUAAUGAUUCCGCAUGGUUUCAUUAUUAAAGGAUUCCGGUAAAGGAUGGGGAUGCGUUCCAUUAGGUUGUUGGUGAGGUAACGGCUCACCAAGCCUUCGAUGGAUAGGGGUUCUGAGAGGAAGGUCCCCCACAUUGGAACUGAGACACGGUCCAA
rnacentral:rRNA from 1 species